AACGAAGGAGGCAAGCGUUAUUUGGUGUUACUGGGUGUAAAGCGCGCGCAGGUGGUUUGUUAAGUGUGGGGUCAAAGGACCAGGCUCAACCUGGGGAAGGAAACACAGACUUACGGACUGGAGGCAGCUAGAUGGAUGCGGAAUUCGGGGUGUAGCGGUGAAAUGUGUAGAGAUCCCGAGGAACAACAGCGGUGAAGACGGCGUCCUGGGGCUGACCUGACACUGAGGCGCGAAGGCGUGGGGAGCGAACGGG
rnacentral:rRNA from 1 species